UACAGAGGGUGCGAGCGUUAAUCGGAGUUACUGGGCGUAAAGGGCGCGUAUGUGGUUGUGUAAGUUGGAUGUGAAAUCCCUGGGCUUAACCUAGGAACUGCAUACAAAACUGCAUAGCUAGAGUACUGUAGAGGGUAGUGGAAUUUCCGGUGUAGCGGUGAAAUGCGUAGAGAUCGGAAGGAACACCAGUGGCGAAGGCGGCUACCUGGACAGAUACUGACACUGAGGCGCGAGAGCGUGGGGAGCAAACAGG
rnacentral:rRNA from 1 species